AAAUGAUCAGGCGAUGGAGUUCGCCGCAACCGCCCGGGUCGACUUGGUAAACGGCCCCGGCUGAUAACUCCUACAAACUA
rnacentral:ncRNA from 1 species